rnacentral:rRNA from 1 species
AGCGAACGCUGGCGGUAGGCCUAACACAUGCAAGUCGAACGAAGUCUUCGGACUUAGUGGCGGACGGGUGAGUAACACGUGGGAACGUACCUUUUGGUUCGGAACAACUCAGGGAAACUUGAGCUAAUACCGGAUGAGCCCUUAGGGGGAAAGAUUUAUCGCCGAAAGAGCGGCCCGCGUUAGAUUAGCUAGUUGGUGAGGUAAAGGCUCACCAAGGCUACGAUCUAUAGCUGGUCUGAGAGGAUGAUCAGCCACACUGGGACUGAGACACGGCCCAGACUCCCACGGGAGGCAGCAGUGGGGAAUCUUGCGCAAUGGGCGAAAGCCUGACGCAGCCAUGCCGCGUGAAUGAUGAAGGUCUUAGGAUUGUAAAAUUCUUUUACCAGGGACGAUAAUGACGGUACCUGGAGAAAAAGCCCCGGCUAACUUCGUGCCAGCAGCCGCCGUAAGAC